rnacentral:rRNA from 1 species
CUAAGAAUCUUGCGCAAUGGGCGAAAGCCUGACGCAGCAAUUCCGCGUGGGGGACGAAGGCCCUCGGGUCGUAAACCCCUUUUGUGAGGGAAGAAGUUCUGACGGUACCUCACGAAUAAGACACGGCUAACUACGUGCCAGCAGCCGCGGUAAUACGUAGGUGUCGAGCGUUGUCCGGAUUUAUUGGGCGUAAAGAGCCCGCAGGCGGCUUGGUAAGUUCGAGGUGAAAUCUCCCGGCUCGACUGGGAGGGUGCCUCGAAAACUAUCAGGCUUGAGGCAGGGAGAGGGAUGUGGAAUUCCCGGUGUAGUGGUGAAAUGCGUAGAUAUCGGGAGGAACACCAGUGGCGAAGGCGGCAUCCUGGCCCUGUCCUGACGCUCAGGGGCGAAAGCGUGGGGAGCAAAC